GGAGAGGUGGCCGAGUGGUUGAAGGCAACGCAUUGCUAAUGCGUCAGACGGGGUAUACCUGUCUCAAGGGUUCGAAUCCCUUCCUCUCCG
rnacentral:tRNA from 2 species